CAAUAGCGUAUAUUAAAGUUGUUGCAGUUAAAAAGCUCGUAGUUGGAUUUCUGGUGGGAGCGAUCGGUCUGGCGCUUAGCGCGAGUACUUGCAUCGUCUCCGGCCAUCCUUGGGGAGAGUCUGUCUGGCAUUAAGUUGUCGGGCAGAGGAUCCUCAUCGUUUACUGUGAAAAAAUUAGAGUGUUCAAAGCAGGCUUAUGCCGUUGAAUAUAUUAGCAUGGAAUAAUAAGAUAGGACUUUGGUACUAUUUUGUUGGUUUGCGCACCAAAGUAAUGAUUAAUGGGGACAGUUGGGGGUAUUCGUAUUCCGUUGUCAGAGGUGAAAUUCUUGGAUUUACGGAAGACGAACUACUGCGAAAGCAUUUACCAAGGAUGUUUUCAUUAA
rnacentral:rRNA from 1 species